AUAAAUGAGAGUUUUUAUAAAACUUCAUGAAUCUGUUUCCACAUUAUAACAUGGAAUUUGUACUAAACUAAACCUGUCUCACUCAUGUUUACCCACAGAUAAUUGACUCCAGAGUGAACUCUCUCCUCUUCCUUUGAGUGUAAAGCAAAGGGUUUAAUCUCUGCAACCCAAAAGCAGGAGUUCAUAGGGAAGAACCCAGUGUGCUGUGAUGUCUGCCAGACAGGAAAGGUGAACAGACAUUGGGACAUUAAAGUACUUUGCCCCUGUGCCCACUCAACUGAGAAAACCAGAUUCACUUAUUCGUGCCUUGAUUAAGGAAACUGCUAGUCUUGUGUCUGAGACACAGUAUUCCUACACACCAGAAGAAGGCUUCAGACCCC